CGUGGCUUUUCUUUUAAUCAACGAGUCUUCAUCUUCUAUGGUUAGUGACGUUCUUUUUAUCAACGAGUAUUCAUCUUCAAUGGUUAGUGACGUGGCUUCUCUUUUUACCAACAAGUCUUCAUCUUCGGCGGUUUUCUCUUGUCGGUUUCUCAUUUUGCAACCGUUGAUGUUGUACCGAGAAACACAUGCCAACCGAGAAUUACAUCCACUUCGCAGAAAUGCUCACCGUUUAUAGUAGAGUAUAGCUACGUGCCCAAACAAGCCAUGGACAGCUGAAGUCUCAAAGAACCGGCAUGAGGAGACGACGCUGCAAACUUUGUCAUAAGGAGAACUGCCUGGAAGUGUGAGGGGUGUGAUGUGGGUCUGUGUCUGCAGACAGAAAGGAACAGCUUCUGACAGUUUCACAAAGACCUCUGAGUGAGAGAGGAGAAACGAGGAGAAACGCGUGGACACAGUUGUAUUUAUUCAGC